rnacentral:rRNA from 1 species
UUCUUGGUUCUUUUAGAGGAAGUAAAAGUCGUAACAAGGUCUCCGUUGGUGAACCAGCGGAGGGAUCAUUACAGAGUUGCAAAACUCCCUAAACCAUCGUGAACGUUACCCCAAAAUCGUUGCUUCGGCGGGCGGCGCCACACCCGGCGCCCCCCUGCCAGGGGCCCCUAAACGGGCGUCCGCCGGAGGCCCAUAACCCUUGUAUUGUUUUACGGCCUCUCUGAGUUUCAUACUUGAAUAAGUCAAAACUUUCAACAACGGAUCUCUUGGUUCUGGCAUCGAUGAAGAACGCAGCGAAAUGCGAUAAGUAAUGUGAAUUGCAGAAUUCAGUGAAUCAUCGAAUCUUUGAACGCACAUUGCGCCCCCCAGUAUUCUGGAGGGCAUGCCUGUUCGAGCGUCAUUUCAACCAUCAAGCCCCGGGCUUGUGUUGGGGACCUGCGGCUGCCGCAGGCCCCGAAAAGCAGUGGCGGGCUCGCUGUCACACCGAGCGUAGUAGCAAUCACCUCGCUCAGGGCGUGCUGCGGGUGCCGGCCGUAAAACUAUCAAUAGA